rnacentral:rRNA from 1 species
AUACGAAGGGGGCUAGCGUUGUUCGGAAUUACUGGGCGUAAAGCGCGCGUAGGCGGAUUGGUCAGUUAGGGGUGAAAUCCCAGGGCUUAACCCUGGAACUGCCUCUAAUACUGCCAGUCUUGAGUUCGGGAGAGGUGAGUGGAAUUCCUAGUGUAGAGGUGAAAUUCGUAGAUAUUAGGAGGAACACCAGUGGCGAAGGCGGCUCACUGGUCCGAUACUGACGCUGAGGUGCGAAAGCGUGGGGAGCAAACAGGAUUAGAAACCCUAGUAGUCC